UACGUAGGUGGCAAGCAUUGUCCGGAUUUACUGGGCGUAAAGAGCGCGCAGGCGGUCGUUCAAGUCGCGUGUGAAAGCCCCCGGCUCAACUGGGGAGGGUCACGCGAUACUGAUCGACUCGAAGGCAGGAGAGGGUAGUGGAAUUCCCUGUGUAGUGGUGAAAUGCGUAGAUAUCGGGAGGAACACCAGUGGCGAAGGCGACUACCUGGGCUGUUUCUUGACGCUGAGGCGCGAAAGCUAGGGGAGCAAACGGG
rnacentral:rRNA from 1 species